AGUGAACGCUGGCGGUAGGCCUAACACAUGCAAGUCGAACGGCAGCACAGUAAGAGCUUGCUCUUACGGGUGGCGAGUGGCGGACGGGUGAGGAAUACAUCGGAAUCUACUUUUUCGUGGGGGAUAACGUAGGGAAACUUACGCUAAUACCGCAUACGACCUACGGGUGAAAGCAGGGGAUCUUCGGACCUUGCGCGAUUGAAUGAGCCGAUGUCGGAUUAGCUAGUUGGCGGGGUAAAGGCCCACCAAGGCGACGAUCCGUAGCUGGUCUGAGAGGAUGAUCGGCCACACUGGAACUGAGACACGGUCCAGACUCCUACGGGAGGCAGCAGUGGGGAAUAUUGGACAAUGGGCGCAAGCCUGAUCCAGCUAUACCGCGUGGGUGAAGAAGGCCUUCGGGUUGUAAAGCCCUUUUGUUGGGAAAGAAAAGCAGCAGGUUAAUACCCCGCUGUUCUGACGGUACCCAAAGAAUAAGCACCGGCUAACUUCGUG
rnacentral:rRNA from 1 species